rnacentral:rRNA from 1 species
GAUGAACGCUGGCGGCGUGCCUAAUACAUGCAAGUCGAGCGAACAGACGAGGAGCUUGCUCCUCUGACGUUAGCGGCGGACGGGUGAGUAACACGUGGAUAACCUACCUAUAAGACUGGGAUAACUUCGGGAAACCGGAGCUAAUACCGGAUAAUAUAUUGAACCGCAUGGUUCAAUAGUGAAAGACGGUUUUGCUGUCACUUAUAGAUGGAUCCGCGCCGCAUUAGCUAGUUGGUAAGGUAACGGCUUACCAAGGCGACGAUGCGUAGCCGACCUGAGAGGGUGAUCGGCCACCCUGGAGCUGAGACACGGUCCAGACUCCUACGGGAGGCAGCAGUAGGGAAUCUUCCGCAAUGGGCGAAAGCCUGACGGAGCAACGCCGAGUGAGUGAUGAAGGUCUUCGGAUCGUAAAACUCUGUUAUUAGGGAAGAACAAAUGUGUAAGUAACUAUGCACGUCUUGACGGUACCUAAUCAGAAAGCCACGGCUAACUACGUG